AUGGACAGCCCCGUCAAACAGCUCUGCGGCUGGCUGGCUAACGAUGGACAGCCAGAGCACAAGGUGGCGUCCAUUGUUGGAACUAGUGGGGUUGGGAAGACCACCCUCGCUAGAGAAGUGUACCGUAAGCUUGGAGGCCAGUUCGAGUGCCGGGCUUUUGUGCAGACAUCGCGAAAACAAGACAUGAAGACGCUCCUCACCAGCAUACUCUCGCAAGUUCGACGGCACCACCUCCCCGACUCUUUCGAGGUGCAUAAAUUGUUGUUCGAGAUCAAAGAACACCUACAAGAUAAGACGUACAUAAUUGUAAUUGAUAAUCUGUGGGCGUCAUCAACCUGGGAUAUUAUCGGUCAUGCUUUGCCAAAGGGAAAUUGUUGCAGUAGAAUAUUAACAACGACAGAGGUUGACGCUAUUGCUCAGACAUGCUGUGCAGAUACCUCCAAGUAUAUCUUCAAGAAGGAACCGCUUAGUGAAGAUGAGUCAAGAGAACUAUUUUUAGUUACAGUUUUUGGCCAUGAAGCUGGAUGUCCUCAGGUCCUCAAGGAAGUUUCAAAUGAAAUUAUUAAAAGAAGUGGUGGCCUGCCGCUAGCAAUUAUUAUAUUGGCCAGUCUCUUGGCAGGUCAGCCAGCCAGCAGCAUAGAGCACUGGAAUUACAUAAAGAAUUCACUGAGUUCCGAUCCAAGCACAAAUACUAGUUUGGAAGGGAUAAAACAAGUUCUCAACCUUGGCUAUGACAAUCUUCCUCACAGUUUGAAAGCAUGCAUGUUAUAUCUAUGUUUGUAUGAAGAGGAUUGUGUAAUCUGGAAGGAUGAUUUGCUGAAGCAGUGGAUGGCCGAAGGUUUCAUCUAUGCAAUGGAUGGGAACGGUGGGAAGGAAGUUGCACGGAGCUAUUUUGAUGAGCUUGUUAACAGAGGAAUGAUCCAACCUAUGGAUAUCAGCUGCAAUGAUGAAAUUCUUUCAUUCAGAGUGCACGCCAUGGUACUUCACUUUAUUAGAUACAAGUCUGUAGAAGAGAAUUUCAGCAUUGCAUUAGAUCAUUCCCAGACCACUAUAAGGCUUGCUGACAGAGUUCGUCGGCUGGCUCUCCACUUCGGCAAUACUGAACAUGCCACACCGCCAAUUCCGGCGAGUAUGAGACUGUCACAAGUUCGAUCUCUUGCCUUUUCUGGAUUGCUCAAGUGCAUGCCUUCCCUUGUGGAGUUCCGGUUUCUUCAGGUUCUGAUCCUUAAAUUAUGGGCUCAUCCUGAUAACAUCACUGAAGCUGAUGACUUAAGUGACAAUCUCACUGAACCUGGUGACUUGAGCUAUAACCUCACUGAAAUUUCGGAACUCUUCCGACUGAGGUAUUUUCAUCUUGAUGCAUGUCAUAUGAGUGUGGACCUUCCAACCCAGAUGAAAUGGCUAAAAGAUUUGGUGGCAUGGGAAAUUGAUGCCGAUGUAACUGCAGUUCCAUCGGAUAUUGUCGAUCUGCCGGGCUUGUUCUUCCUCAGUAUUCCUAGCGAGGCUCAUCUGCCCACUGGUAUUGGUCGCAUGACAUCUCUUCGCACUCUGGGCAUUAUUGAUCUCAGCAAGAACUCAACCGAAAAUAUUAUGUCCCUUGGUGAGCUUACCAAUCUCCAGGAUCUUCGUCUCACAUGUUCCACAUUACAGCCUGAUAACCUGGAAAAGAAUUUGGAAUGCUUGGGCUUGAUAAUUCGGAAACUAAGCAAUCUCAAAUGUGUAACUCUUGUACCUGUAGUCUCCUCUCAUGUAAAAACUCAGGAUGAUGCCAGUUCUUCAAGGAUGACCAUUUCUUGGCUUGGCUUCGCUAAAGUGUCUCCUUCUCCAGCCGUUCUUCAGAGACUAGAGUUGUCGCGGCGCUGCUUCAUCUUGUCCAGCUUACCUGAGUGGACCAAGGAUCUUACGAAGCUUGGCAUUUUAAAGAUGGCAGUUAGGAAGGUGUCAAGUGAAGAUGUUGUUAUUCUCAAAGGAUUGCCUUCCCUCACCGCACUCUCGCUGUUCGUCUGGACCGCACCCACAAGAAGGAUCAUCUUUGACAAUGAGGGAUUCUUGGUGCUCAAGUACUUCAAGUUUGUGUGUCUUGCACCAUGCCUGAGUUUUUUGGAUGGAGCAAUGCCCAAAGUCGAAAAUCUCAAGCUAGGUUUUAAUGCUAAUCGAAUGGAGCGAUACAGCUUGGUAGCUGCUGGGUUUGAGCACCUGGUUGGCCUCAACAAGCUGUCCACAAAAAUUGGGGGCGCCGGUACUAAUGAAUGCAACAGAAGGUCUGCAGAGUUGGUGUUUGCUGAUGCCAUUAGCAAGCAUCCAAGCACUCCCAUCAUCAAUGUACAAUGGGUGGAUUGGAAUUAUUGUGGCAAUUACAACAAGUACACAGAGGUUCCAAAAGAGAUAUUUAAACAACUUGGAGUUCAGGAGAAGAACUUGGAGGGAGAUGCCAACAAACUCCCCUAUAUAAGUGCAUGGCUUUCUACACUAGACCUCGCAUCUACAGAAUAUAGUCAAUAA
rnacentral:rRNA from 1 species